rnacentral:rRNA from 1 species
UACGGGGGGGGCAAGCGUUGUUCGGAAUUACUGGGCGUAAAGGGCUCGUAGGCGGCCAACUAAGUCGGAUGUGAAAUCCCCAGGCUUAACCUGGGAACUGCAUCCGAUACUGGAUGGCUUGAAUCCGGGAGAGGGAUGCAGAAUUCCUGGUGUAGCGGUGAAAUGCGCAGAUAUCAGGAGGAACACCGGUGGCGAAGGCGGGUCUCUGGGCCGUAACUGACGCUGAGGAGCGAAAGCGUGGGGAGCGAACAGG